CUGCCGAUUGCAAGCGCAGGAGCAGCCUGAGAGCGGCGUUGGAACGCCGGAGGGCUGCCAUUCCUUGCCGCUGCUGCUCGCUCAUUCUCACGCGGAAGAUGAUUUGAUCCAACGGUCAACGCACACUUGGCUAUAUCUCCACCAUAGGGCUCUCGGACUAAGAUUUUGUGGGUGGAAGUGGAGGAGAACCGAUGGAGGGUGCCAGUUUGGUUCGUUUCCCUUCCAGUUUUGUUCGCUCGAGCUGGACAAUUCCCAGCCCACGGGGGAUUGUCCUCAAGAGGCAUGGAGUUAAGCUCUGCAUUUCGUGCCGGUCAGAGUCACCUGAGACGAUGGUUGUCUCCAUAACAGGUGCCACGGGAUUUAUUGGAAGAAGAUUGGUACACAGGCUAGCUUCGGAUGGACACAAAGUCCGAGUUCUUACGCGUUCCAUUUCGAAGGCAGCUGAUCUUUUCCCGGCAAGGGACUAUCCGACCGUUGAGGUAUCCUUAGAGCGUGAUCUGGAGAAAUGCAUUCCAGGAUCGACUGGAGUUGUCAAUCUUACUGGGACACCUAUCAGCACUCGCUGGACAUCGGAGGUGAAAGACGAGAUCAAACGAAGCAGGAUAAGUCUCACCACAAAGCUUGUUGAAACCAUCAACACUACUCCAAAAGAACUACGUCCCAAGGUUUUAGUGAGUGCUUCCGCCGUGGGAUUCUACGGAGCAAGCGAGACAUCUACGUAUGACGAAACGAGUCCUUCGGGAAAUGAUUAUCUCGCCGAAGUUUGCCGGGAAUGGGAAGCUGCCGCAAGCAAUGUUGAUGGCAGUGUAAAGCUUGUCCUCCUUCGCAUUGGCAUUGUACUCGACAAGGAGGGUGGCGCUCUAGCAAGCAUGGUCCCAUUAUUCAAAGUUUUUGCUGGCGGUCCUAUAGGCUCUGGAAAACAAUGGUUCUCGUGGGUGCAUCGCGAGGAUUUGGUGUCACUGAUAAUUGAAGCGCUAACGAAUCCAACCUACAAAGGUGUAAUCAAUGGGACAGCCCCGAAUCCAGUCCGAAUGGCCGAGAUUUGUGACACUCUGGGAAGAGUCUUGGGACGUCCGUCAUGGCUCCCUGUUCCUGAGAUUGCUCUCAAAGCAGUACUUGGAGAGGGUGCGAGUGCGGUUCUCGACGGUCAAAGAGUGGUACCAAAGAGAGCUCAAGAGCUCGGUUUCAAGUUUAAGUACCGCUACAUUGGGGACGCUCUGAAGGCAAUCUUUGCUUCCUAGAAAGGCAAAGGACGGACUCUUAUUCCUCGUCGUUCUUUCUUCGUCGUCACUGCUGUGGAGCUUGCUACCGCUGCUGCUUUCACCACAGCUUUUUCACCACCAAACGAAGCAGUCACAGCUGGCCCGUGGACGUACGUUUGGCAGCUAGUAGACAGGAAGGAGCAGUCCACACAAGGCUAGUUCCCUGCCCAAAGACAUGUACCUGACAACGCUGGUGGACAAGACACUGUUGCAGCCAGCAGGCUUUGAGAUAUGUGAACUUCGUAGUUCCAGGUCCCUCUAUAAGAGCUCGAGCAAGAUUCAAGUCCGAUAUCUCAACUACAGGGUGCAGUGUAAAGCUUCGUCCUCGUUCGUUCGAACUGGCAAGGAUUAUCAAAGAAAAAGAUUGGCUGUUAGAGUUUGUGAGGACUGAUCACUGUGAUUUCAGUUACUGGCAUGCAUGCAGCAAGCAAGCAGGUUUCAUUAUUCUAAAGUUUAUAUCCCGGCAGACGGUCCAAUUGCCAGAGGUAACGUAAAAGCUUGUUCGUUUAAACAGUGGAGAGUUUGGCAGAUUCUUUCUUAACAAAGUGGUCUCUUAUUUAUGGUAACACUUGAGCUUGAUUUUUCUUCUUCUUUCCUCAUGCUACACACCACUGUGUCUCUUUUGUUCUUCAGGUGUCUUAUCCUGAACGUGAAUGGUCACUCCAGCUUGAAUGCUAUGCGCUUGCUUUCAACAACGACAACAACAGCUUCUAGACGCGGUCAAAAGAGCGGCAAAUUUCGCUCCGGGGCUCGACUUCGAAGUUGUUUUAAAGUACGGUCUACACUCCAUUGGCGGAAGGAGCACCCCUAUACUUCGUUCGUCAUCGGCCUGUGAGAGACGAGACGACGACCCCUGUCGUGGCGCUGCUGCCGCUGCUGCUGCUGUUCUCUCGAGCACCAAAACGAAUCAGUCCCCAGCGCUAGCUGGUCCUUGUGACGUAGCACACUUGGAAGUUAGUACUCAGGGAGACCAGUCCGCACAGAUAAGAUAACUUCCUUACUUCCCAUGGCUCUGAUCUGACGCUGUGGAGGAACAAGUCCCCAGGAGAAGACUUUGAAAUAUGUGAAGUUCCAAGCUCCAAUCCUCCAAAAGUGCUAUAACUCGGAGAGCCAGCAGCUUUAAAAUACAUAUACCGUCAUGUGGAGGAACACUACUACCCAGCUGCGGUGCUGCUGUAACUUUCACGGGAGCGGAGGAAACACUAGUUUUCUCGUGAGUUUGAACGCCCAGCUCCGCAAUUCCAUGUGCUGUCCCUGCUAGAUUCACUUGAAACACGGCUGCGAUUAAGGUAUACGAUGAGAGCUGACUGACUCCAGUUACAUCAAUCACACCUCGGUUUAAACUC